CACAAGCCUAGAAAUGAGUUUAUAUGGGACAUAUGAGGGAUUUAUGGAGUUUACGGCCCAUGAAACCCCCUUCAUGGCCGUAAACUCUAUUAUAUGGUGCUACAAGGUGUUUCAAGGUCUAAAACUUGCAUAGAAUGGCUUCUAAAAUUCAUCUAAGGGCCUUAGGGGUGUUUAGUUUGCAUUCUAACACCAAAAAUUUUGGAGUUUACGGCCCAAGAACAGGUCUUGGCCGUAAACUCUUAGAAAUCCCAUGAAUGAUGUGUUUAAGGCCCUUAAAGUAUUUUUGGUUGGUCCCUUGAUUUAUUCCAAGGCUUUUGGUGGUGUUGGAUGGCUUUCUAACACCUUAGAAUUGGAUUUAUGCCAAGUUUUGGGGAGUUUACGGCCCAAGCACUAUCCUUGGCCGUAAACUCAUCUAAGUCCCCCAAAAAUCAUGUUUCAAGUGUCCAAAUGCUAUUACCAAGGUCCUAUAAUUCAUAUCUAAGCCAUAGAGGUGAUUUGGAAGGGUUUAAAGGCAUGAAAAACCCCAUUAACAUGAGUUUACGGCCCAAGCUUAUGCCUUGGCCGUAAACUCCUUCAAAGUCCUCAAAAUCAUAGUUUUAAGUGUUCUAAGUCCAUAUCUUGAAGUCCCUUAGCCAUAUCUAAAGUCCAAUUGAGUUUAGGAAGGAGUUUAAGGGCUAAAAACCCUUCAAAAUGGUGUUUACGGCCUAGGCAGCCUCCUGGGCCGUAAACUCACAUAUAUUGUCCAAUUUCAUGAUUAAGUGUCUAAUUUGGAAGCUAAACAUGCUAUAGAUUAAGGCUAGGAAGGUACCUUAAGGAUUUGAAGCCUUAAAUUUGAGUUUUGGACACUUAAUCUUUGGAUUUAGGAGAGAGGUUAGAGAGAGAGUAGAGAGAGAAGGAAAAAGCUUCAAAUGAGUGCUAAAACAUGUUUAUAUAGUCCCUAAAACUUGGACACGGUGGAAUUCUACCCGAUACCGGCCUUAAACGAUGCUUUGGGUCGCACCCGAUUGAGUUUCCGUCACCCGACGAGGAUAUUUCUAAAACUUAUGAAAUAAAUGUUUUGGGCUAAAUUCAUGAGUUCCUAAAUGAUUUGGACCCUCAUUGAAUGAAAAUAAAUAUAUAAUUUUAGUUAACUAAGCCCAAAAACGAUAACGGGACAUUUCGAUUUCCGACGAGUUAUUCGGGUAGAACGGGUUUUCGGCGAUGAACAACUUCGGGUUGUUACAUUAUCCCCCCGUUAGAGGGAAUUUCGUCCCGAAAUUCAAAGAAUAAGAUAUAGGUUAUGGAUUGGAAUGAGAUACGGAUGGAUUUGUUGCUUCGGAUCUUCACUUUCUCAAGUGGAAUCAAGUCUCUAUUGGGCGUUCUAACGAAUUCUCAUUAUCGGAACAUGCCUUGGUUUCGCUUCUUGACUCUCUCUCAAUUUACGAUAUCAAUCUGCUUUCUCGUGGAAGCUCCAACCCUGAAUGACUUCGGUUUCCUCAAAGGAAUCACUAGGGUUUCGUUGGGCAGACGUUUCUAAGGAUUCGAGACGUGAUGGUCUAGAUAGAUAUUACCAAGCUCUAAGGGCAUCCGAAACCUGAAGGUUGCUGAAUCGAUCUCUACGAAGAUCUCGAAAGGUUUGAUGUGAGACUAAACUAGAUGCUCGAAAGAAACUCCCGGGAAUCCUUCGGGAUAGACAUUUAGAGGGAAUAGCUGCUAACUUCCCGUUUCUCAAUAAUCACAGAAACGAGGGAUGCGUGGUAAUUCACAUUGGGAAAACUUUUGAGUUCUAAGGCAUAGAAUGAUACGAAAGUUUGAUGCCGAAGAUCACGAGAACAGGGUCGAGGAAAAAUCUAGACGAGCGACCCUUUCGAAAGUAAAGAUAACAACAUGAAUGAGACUCGGUCAUUUCUGGUUAAACAUGGCAUCAAAGUAUUUUCAUGGAAAGUUUCCCCCUUUUUAAAUCGAAUGGAACAGAAUAGUCCUCCGGACUGAGGAUUCAAUCUAUAGGUACGAAGUUAGUGUUCUCUAUCUCACUAGUUAGUCGUCUCGACGGUAUACAUUUCGAUUACAUGCGAAGGAUUGAGUUUAGAAUACGUUCGAAUAGAUAGAUAACAGGUUUCCCUUUUGCACCCAAAAUCGAAAAGAGUUGCAAGUAUAAGAAUUAUCAAAGAGAGAUAUACCUGCGGCAGCAGAGGGAUUUGUGGUUGUAGCUGUCUUGGGACAAUUCCUUUUGAAGUGCCCAGCUUCACCACAAUUGUAGCAGGCCGGACUGAUUCCCGCUCCGGAUGAUUGGUUCGUUGGCUUGGCUGGUUUUCUGCAGGUUCGCGCAAGAUGGCCCUUAUUGCCACAGUUGUCGCAGAUCCUUUCGCGACAUGGACCAGGAAUGCGGUGGUGGUAGUUACACUUACCACACCAAGGAAGGGUACCAGUGUAUCCACUGGCGGGAGUUUGGGCUGUGGAACCGACAGCUGAAACAGCAACAGGGGCAGUAGCAGCAUGGACUGCUACCGUUUGCUGUUUCUUAGAAGACCCUUGCGUACUCUGGGCCUUCCGCUUGUUCCAGGAUUUCUUUUUACUUCCGCCUCCACUAGUGACUGGCUCGGGGGUAGUAGCUUCUUCAUCAGAGUUGUCUUCGUGAUCUAUCAGGAUUUUCGCAAGGCACUUAGCACUGUCAUAUGUGUCUGGCUUCGCAGCCAAGACAUUCCCCUUUGUUGGCUGGGUCAACCCCCAGAUGAACCUCUCUAUCUUUUUACUCUCCGGGGUAACCAUUCCCGGACAAAGUAAUGCCAGAUCAUCGAAUCUUGAGGUAUAAGCAGCUAUGUCGGAACCCUUCAUCUUAAGGUUCCAAAGUUCGUGUUCUAGCUUCUGAAGUUCGCCCCGAGGGCAAUACUCUGCGAGAAGAAGCUCCUUCAUAGCUUCCCAACCCAUAGCAUUGGCUACAGGUAAAGUUAAGGAUUUGACUCGGCCAUUCCACCAAGUCAGGGCUUUGUCUAGGAAGGUACAGGCGGCAAACUUGACUCUAUCAGACUCCGAACAGCCACAUAUUUCAAAGAUUGAUUCGAUUCUCUCGAACCAUCGGGUUAAGGCAAUGACACCCCCUGUGCCAUCGAAGAAUGUCGGUUUUGCGUUCAUGAAGUCUUUAUAGGAACCCCCUUUUUGGUGUCCCUGGCUAUCAUCUGGGUUUUGGGUUUCACCUCCCGAACCCCUAGAGUUCAGUUGAGGUAAGAGAGCUGAUAUGGUAGCGGAAAUGGUUGCCUGAAGUGUUUCCAAAUCGAUCUGAAUAGGAGGUGGUGGCGGAGGAGGAUUGUUGUUGUUCGUUGAGCUGGGUCUCUUUCUUGGAGGCAUCUUGAUCUAAAAAGAUCAGGAAAGAGAGGAUCAUAAGUCCUCUGAAUUGAAUCAAGAGAUAUGGGACAGGAGAUAUCUCAUCAAGGCAAAUAUAGCAUCAUACAAAGCGAUAAAGCAGAAAGGAGUUAUCAAGAUAGAACAUUUUAUCGCUAGAGGAAUGAUCAAGGAAUAACGCGUAUACGAGAAUUUCUACAAAGGAUCGGCUCGAGAAAUACUCCCAUAGUAUUUCAUGGUUCGCUGCAGCGACGAUUUGUUGUUUGGGAUAUUGGGUAAGUUUUAGGUAUGCCGCAUGCCACAGUCACUCCCAAGCACAUGUUGGCCGUGUCUCGAAUGAAUAUAGUUGGCCAGGCUAUAUUGACCCUAGACACGACUACAUAACUGCCCAGGUUUAACCGCAGUGUACAACACCCAUUUACUUAUGUUUUGUUCUACUUGUAGUUACGGAUUUCGACGGCUCGGCAUACUUAAAUACUUUUGAAAAUACUUAUAUUUUGUAGGAUACUUUUAGUUCAGAGCACUUAGGCCCCUUAAUGUUUAUAGUUUUAUACCAUGUAAGGUUUGGUAUACUCUGUUCACUAUAAACAAGGGCUCUGAUACCAAUCUGUCACACCCCGAAAACCAAAGGCGGAAACGUUCCCGGGGUUGACUCCAUGUUGUGUAUCAAAUCCAAUGUACAUAGUAAUCACAGUAAACAACCAUUACAUUACAUAUAUAUGAAAGUUUACAUUUGGUUCAAAAGUAAAUUGUACAAAAGUUAUACAUAUAUCAUAUGAACAAAAGAGACGAGUCUUCGGAGCACUCCAUCUUCACCAAAAGAUAUCGCCGGGUACCUGUCUAACUUGGACCUGAGAAUACAAGCAGUUUGAAAAUCAGCAUAAAGCUGGUGAGUUCAUAAGCGGUUUUGUUUUGUGAAAAUGUAUCGAUUUCCUUUAGUUUUCUGAAAAGAUUUGAUAUCCAAGAAAAUCCCAUAUUUUCUUAUGUAAAGUAGUUAAGUUAUCUUUCAUUACAGUUCUGUUACAAGUUAUAAGUUAACCCCAGGAAAAUCCCAUAUUUUCCUAAAUGCAAGAUUGAUUGAAUAACACAUAGUAUAGUUUAAUAUACAAAACUAUAAUUUAGACGAACUGUAGAUAGAAAGUAUUUUGAAAACCUUGGGACUAACAUCCCGAACCAGUUAUAAGAUAAUUCGAUAAAGACCAUGGGAUCACUAUCCCGAAAAUAGAUAUAAGAUAGCUUGAUAAACCAUGGGAUCACUAUCCCGAAACUAGAUAUAAGAUAGCUUGAUAAAAUCAUGGGAUUAUCAUCCCGUAUAAGAUUUAGUUUCAAAACCAUGGGAUUGCCAUCCCGAACGAAAUAUAGACACAAGAUCAUGGGAUUAUCAUCCCGAACGAGAUAUAGACAUAAAACCAUGGGAUUACCAUCCCGAACGAGAUAUAGAUUACAAGACCAUGGGAUUACCAUCCCGAACAAGAUAUAGAUUCUAAACAAAUCCUAGCUGUGAAUAAGUUUAUAUUAAUACGUAUUGUGAGUCGGGUAACCAUACUGAUAUGACAACGAGACCUCCUUGACGUUAGUCAGACGUCGAAUGAUAUCCAGAAUUUGUCACCCCAGGCGUGCCCGCCUAACUGUAGCUAGCAGUUAAGGUGUGGGAUUGUCAGUCCCGAAUAGAUCUAUUCACAAAUUCCUCGCUCUCCCUCCAGGAGACUCUGGUUACACUUCCGGAGAGGAUUUACUUGAUCAUCCAUAAAGGGUAGUGACUAUCUCACAAGCUAGUAUUAAACUAUUCACAGGAUUCUCAUACGAUUACAAACAUACAUAGACUUUAAGACAUGAUACAGUGAAAAAUAGAUACAUACAAUGAAAUUAUCUGGCAAAAACAUUCGAAUGAUACGGAGAUAAACUGAAUCAGACAUAGUUUAUCUAAUAACUUAAUACAGAUAUCAGUACAUGAUAUAAAGAGAAACAUAGAACCCCAAAUUAUUCCCAUAAUAAUUUGAUUAGUUUGGUUAUUUUCUUAACUAAAAUCCAUUUAGUUGUAAUUGAUAAAUCAUUCCUUAUGCUCAACAUAAUACAUAAGGAGUAAAAGAGUUUAUAAGUUUGCCAGAUAUUAUUUGAAACACAUAAAUGUUAUGAUUUGAAAACAGUUUUGGUUUGCUUGUAUUCCCCCCUGAAAACAGUUAAAAACAGUGAAAAAGGCGUAGGGGUAUGAACUCACCGGACGAGAAGUAUGACGAUUUGGAUGCUAAGAGUUGAUCCGGGGCUUGUAAAUACACGAGGUUCCUAAUUAUAAUGUAAAGAUACACAUUUGUAUCUAAUUAGGACUUAGAUUGAUUGUUGGAUAGGGACAAUUGCUUCUAGUCGCGAAAACACUCCGAUACGAGUGUUUGGAGGGACCCGGGUGGCGUUUAAGGAUGUGAAAUGACACUAGGGACUUGGGACUUGAGUUUACUCCCCAUGAGUAAACUUUUAAAUGAGUUUACAACCACAAAACACACACAUACAUGAGUUUACGGCCGUAAACUCAUGUGGGUGUGGUUUUGGGUGUUUAAAUGGCUUAAAUGGCUUACAUGGACAUGGGAAAUGUUUCUAGGUUUUGUUCUAAAUGCAUGGAAUGGAUUAAAAUCACCAAAAUGAUUAAUUUAUGGGAGUUUACGGCCUAGCAUAGGCUCCUGGCCGUAAACUCCUUAAUCCUUAUGAAAAUGAUGCUAAAUGUUGUUAAAACCAAUCACAUGUGAUUCUAAAAAUUCCCACAAGCCUAGAAAUGAGUUUGUAUGGGACAUAUGAGGGAUUUAUGGAGUUUACGGCCCAUGAAACCCCCUUCAUGGCCGUAAACUCUAAUAUAUGGUGCUCCAAGGUGUUUCAAGGUCUAAAACUUGCAUGAAAGGACUUCUAAAAUUCAUCUAAGGGCCUUAGGGGUGUUUAGUUUGCAUUCUAACACCAAAAAUUUUGGAGUUUACGGCCCAAGAACAAGCCUUGGCCGUAAACUCUUAGAAAUCCCACAAAUGAUGUGUUUAAGGCCCUUAAAGUAUUUUUGGUUGGUCCCUUGAUUUAUUCCAAGGCUUUUGGUGGUGUUGGAUGGCUUUCUAACACCUUAGAAUUGGAUUUAUGUCAAGUUUUGGGGAGUUUACGGCCCAAGCACUCACCUUGGCCGUAAACUCAUCUAAAUCCCCCAAAAUUCAUGUUUCAAGUGUCCAAAUGCUAAAACCAAGGUCCUAUAAUUCAUAUCUAAGCCAUAGAAGUGAUUUGGAAGGGUUUAAGGGCAUGAAAAACCCCAUUAACAUGAGUUUACGGCCCAAGCUUAUGCCUUGGCCGUAAACUCCUUCAAAGUCCUCAAAAUCAAAGUUUUAAAUGUUCUAAGUCCAUAUCUUGAAGUCCCUUAGCCAUAUCUAAAGUCCAAUUGAGUCUAGGAAGGAGUUUAAGGGCUAAAAACCCUUCAAAAUGGUGUUUACGGCCUAGGCAGCCUCCUGGGCCGUAAACUCACAUAUAUUGUCCAAUUUCAUGAUUAAAUGUCAAAUUUGGAAGCCAAACAUGCUAUAGAUUAAGGCUAGGAAGGUACCUUAAGGAUUUGAGGCCUUAAAAUUGAGUUUUGGACACUUAAUCUUUGGAUUUAGGAGAGAGGUUAGAGAGAGAGUAGAG
rnacentral:lncRNA from 1 species